AGUGAACGCUGGCGGUAGGCCUAACACAUGCAAGUCGAACGGCAGCACAGUAAGAGCUUGCUCUUACGGGUGGCGAGUGGCGGACGGGUGAGGAAUACAUCGGAAUCUACUUUUUCGUGGGGGAUAACGUAGGGAAACUUACGCUAAUACCGCAUACGACCUACGGGUGAAAGCAGGGGAUCUUCGGACCUUGCGCGAUUGAAUGAGCCGAUGUCGGAUUAGCUAGUUGGCGGGGUAAAGGCCCACCAAGGCGACGAUCCGUAGCUGGUCCGAGAGGAUGAUCCGCCCCCCUGGAACUGAGACACGGUCCAGACUUCUACGGGAGGCCGCAGUUGGGAAUAUUGGGCCAUGGGCGGAAGCCUGACGCAGCCCUACCGCGUGGGUGAAGAAGGGCUUCGGGUUGUAAAACCCUUUUUUUUGGGAAGAAAAACAGCCGGUUUAAACCCCGCUGUUCUGACGGUACCCAAAGAAUAAGCACCGGCUAACUUCGUG
rnacentral:rRNA from 1 species